rnacentral:rRNA from 1 species
UACGUAGGUGGCAAGCGUUGUCCGGAUUUACUGGGCGUAAAGAGCGCGCAGGCGGUUGAUUAAGUCGAAUGUGAAAGCCCCCGGCUCAACUGGGGAGGGUCAUUCGAUACUGAUCAACUUGAAGGCAGGAGAGGGAAGUGGAAUUCCGGGUGUAGUGGUGAAAUGCGUAGAUAUCGGGAGGAACACCAGUGGCGAAGGCGACUACCUGGCCUGUUCUUGACGCUGAGGCGCGAAAGCUAGGGGAGCAAACGGGG